AUGGAAUUGUUAUUUGGGAUCAAUAGGAGACAUAAGAAGAUGGCCAGAACCUUUGCAUAUAAGAGAGACAACAUCAAAGGCAAUCCCACGAUCACAGAAUGAAACUGUUGAAGACCCGAAUGUCCUUUUCAAAGAACACCUGAUGCUACGUCUGUUUAGAGGGACCUUCAACAAGUUAUCCUUGGUACCUACAGCAUCAUAUGGGGGAGG